rnacentral:tRNA from 1 species
AGCAUAGUUGGUUUAUGCAGUCGCCUUAUAAGCGAAAGAGUGAAAGUUCAAAUCUUUCC